GCUGCAUGGUUGUCGUCAGCUCGUGCCGUGAGGUGUCGGUUAAGUCCCAUAACGAGCGCAACCCUUAUCGUUAGUUGCCAGCUGGUAAAGCAGGGGACUCUAGCGAAACUGCCACCGUAAGGUGAGAGGAAGGUGGGGAUGACGUCAAAUCAGCACGGCCCUUAUGUCCAGGGCUACACACGUGUUACAAUGGCCGGCACAGAGGGCAGCUACCUGGUGACAGGAUGCUAAUCUCGAAAACCGGUCUCAGUUCGGAUCGAAGUCUGCAACUCGACUUCGUGAAGCUGGAUUCGCUAGUAAUCGCGCAUCAGCCAUGGCGCGGUGAAUACGUUCCCGGGCCUU
rnacentral:rRNA from 1 species